GUGAAUCCAUCUGGUCCUGGACUCUUUUUGAUUGAUGCUGUGGGGACCUGUUAGCAUCUUCUGUGUCAUCUCAUCCUCAUGGCAACCUUGUAAGGAAGAAGCCAACUUCAGGACAUUAAGCUACCAUAAGAAAAGAAACAGGAGGAUUCUCUUCUUUUGGAUCGUAUGGUACAGGUAGGACAUUUCCUCUGUAUCAGUCAAAAUUUGAUCAGAAAAAGAGACCUCAUUCUAAGUGUUUCACCAGGAAGAGAUUUAAUAAAAAGAACUAGGGGCUUAUGAAACAACUGAAAGAGCUUCUAGCAUGCAGAUUUUUGCUAGUGUUCAAAUACUCUGGAUGUAACUAAUGCUGCUUUAGUCAAACAUGUUAGAAGGAUAUUUAUUACCAAUGACAACAUUUGCCUGUCAGCACCUAAGUAGGUGAUUUGUAUGAGAAUUCCCAGCUACUGCUGCAAAUCUUCAUGUUGGGCAAAUGCUUUGAGUUCACUUGCCAAUGCUGAAUGCUUCCUGUCCACUUUCCAGAUGCCGUGUGAAUGCCUAAUGAGUGGGAUCUGAACACAACUCUGCUAAUAAGGAAGUCUCCAAAAUGUAGUUCCUAGCUGUCCAGUUCCUGUGAUUCUUGAACAGUUGUUGAAGAGGAUGAGUAUAUUGUUGAAUGCCAACACAUAGUUCUGUUUUCCUUCACAGAGACAAUAUACAUGGGGAAUCAUCCCCAAAUAGAAAGAUGAGUUGCAUGCUGAACCAAAAGAUUACAGCAGUGUACAUAACAAUGUAACACUCAAAAGUUCUUUAUAUAAUAUGUGUUUCUAAACAGAUGAAAGCAUCCAAUAAAAAUUGAUUUUUAAACCACCAGUAAAUCUCUCUAAGUCAUUUUCAAACAUGAUCUUACGGUCUAUGUACCAUGACUUUAUAUAUGUAAUGUUUUCUUCUAAUAUGAUUGCUAUGUGCUAGUGUAAUUAGGGAAAAACAAUAGCAAAACUAGGUGAUAGAUAGAUAGGUAGAUAGAGAUGAUUGAUAGAUACAUAGAGGGUCUCUCCUCUUCUAUCCACUACAUACAAAAAAUCGCCCUUGGAUCUUUGACUAGAUCAUCAAAUGGUCUUCUAUAUUCACUAUAUUUUACCAGAAAGAAGCUAUUCAUUUCAUGGUUUUUUUUUUAAAUCCAGUAUAGUUGUAUUAUUUUAAACUCACUUUAGAGUGUAUUCGAGUUCACCUUUCUGUGCAAGAAAGACCACUCAAGACAACCACAGCUUUUCAUUGAUCCAUUCAGAAAACACAGCCAAUCUGAGGAAUCCAAAUUGCCUUAAUCUUACUUCACUGUAAGCAACUUGUGAGGUUUGAAAGCCACCUUAAUCAUCCUUCUUUCACCAACAUAGAUCCGAGCAUAUAGUAGGCACUUGAUAUUUGGUGAAUGAAUGAGUGAUAGAAGACUAGCUAUAACCAGGACUUUAUCCUUGAUUGAUCUGAUUUUAUCAUGUGAUAUAAUUUCAGCUAUGAAAACAUGUGACAAGUGACAUAAAUCCAGAUUUUUUAAAAUAUUAAUGUCAUUUCAAAUGUUUGUUUCAGUAACUUUCUAUUAUAUGUUAAUUUUUCUUAAUUUUUAAACAAUGUAAAUCAUUCCUUUUAUCUCUAUUCUUUGCAAAUGUUCUGCUACUUUGGCAAUCACCCUAUAUGAUGAAUUGCCAGAACUCAGACUCAAAUUACUUCUCAAACUAUCUAGUAUUUAAUCUGAACAUCCAAGAAGACAUUUAUUACUUUGGAGUGAGUCAUUUUCAAGAUGAAACUCUUUGGUUUCUUACCAGCUUCUAUGACAUAAGCAAGUCAUUAUCAAUUUAAUAAAAUGUAAAAUAAAACUAAAAAUUAAAAGAAUAUUUUUCUUUAAUUCCUCCAAAGUCAGUUUUAUAAUACAGAUGACUGAUGGUCUGACUCUUUUGCUUAACAAUUAUCAAUUGUUACAUGAUAUUAACUUUUAAGAAGUAAUUUUAUUUCCAAACUGGCUAACAUUUAGUAAGACUUAACAAGUACCAGCUAGCCUUAACAUGAAAAAUCAAAACUAUAUAUUCCAUAGAUCCUUUGGUUGAACUGGUUAACUACAAUAUUAUUUUAUAAAUUUCCCAGCAAUAGAACUUGAAAAGUGAUGAAAACAACCAAGUAGUAAUUAGCAAAUGAAGCCAAUUUGAAAAAGCCCCAAAUAAAUGGGCACCAAAAUCUAUCUAAUAAAUUGCUGAGAUAUAAUGAUACACAUUAUACCAAGUUUAAAUUCAAGUGACAUUUUUUUGGUUAGGUAAAUUUAAAUUUAAUUUAACUCUGAUGUUGAACCCUUGCGGUUUUUCUCCUUUAAAAUAUCUACUUCCUAUUCCUUCUAGAUAUGAAUGUGUAUUAUUUAAAUAUAAUUUAAAUAAUAAAUUUUAAAAAUUUAAUAAAAUUAAAUAUCAAUAACUUCUAUCUUUGCAAUUUUUGCAGUUUAAA
rnacentral:lncRNA from 1 species